UCAUGUCAACUUUUAAGAAAUUUGAAGAUUCAGCAAGAUAGAGUACUCGAUGAGCGUGAAAACUACUCGACGAGGAACUGAAAAGUACUCGAAGACUGCUGCAUUCGACUUUGAAGCGCUCGGGGGCUUGUCGGGGAUAGAUUCCAGUACCCGCAAGGAAUGAAGAAGACAGACUCGUACUAGAACUCCCCUGUAAUCCUACUAGGACUCAUACCGUGUAAUCCUACUAGGGCUUCUACCUUAUAACUGACUAGUAAUCCCACCCCUUGGAGUAUAUAAAGGAGGGCAUGGGUCCCUAGAUCGGUAGGCGAAGACCUCAGAGAACCACAACAGAGGACCAAAUUCUCAACACCAAACAACAUCCAAGUGCAGGGCGCAAUAUACAACACCCUAAACAGGACGUAGGGUAUUACACUACCCUGGCGGCCCGAACCUAUAUAAAUCCGUGUGUUGUGUCCUUACUUUUACCUUUGAGUUACAAGUCCGAUGAUCCCCCACCAACCAAUCUACUACCUCGGGAUACCCCUCUGUAGUUGCUGGGUAUAAAACACCGACAACAUGUGUGCACUGGGUUAGAUAAAAAGUAGAAAAAUCCUUACAUGUGCAUGAGUUAAAAAAAAUAGACGAUGGGUCGAGAACUGGAUAAUAAAACAAGUCCAUGGCCAAGUAUGUUUCGUAUAUACUAAACUGGGUUUUGUUUAAUCUAUCGGAAUCAUAUCGAUUUUUUAAUUGUAUUGCUGUAUUUUCCCCUCCAGCUACCAAAUUUCCAAAAGUUCUUUUAUUCUAGUUGGAGAAAGCAACGAUUCCUCUUUUGGUAAAUGACAUGAAAUGCACGCAGGUUCACUGAUGCAUGGGCCUGCUCUAGAUAAUCAUCUUCCACCUUUGCUGUAUGCAAGAUGAAAUGCAACCAGGUUCACUAACAAAUGGGCCCAAUAAGAGCAUACAAUCUUGUUAGUGGCCCUGGAGUAAGUGCAGCUCACAAAAUUCUCAUUUCACACCCAGGCACUUGAAAGCGGGAUCUUAAAUUCUAUAUUCCCUUCCCUCCGCGAACUCAUAAAACAUGGCUACCGCAGCUCCACUCCAAACUCCUACCGUAUUUCCA
rnacentral:lncRNA from 1 species